CCUUCUAGUUUUAAUUUGUUUUACAGAUUGUUACAAGUGAUUUUAUGCUCUUUUAAACAUUUAUAAAUGUGCUGCUUCUUUGUUUUUAUAGAGCUCACAGCCUCAGUGUCUUGUGACACAGGGACCAUGACAGAAAUUCAUCUUCCAGAAGGUCCCAGAGCAUCCACACCCCCUGAAAAGACCACGGUGUGAGGUGUCUGCUGUUGAUUCCAGCUUCCACCUCAGUGACAGUGCAAGCUCAGUGAACUGUUCAAGGAGGCUACUGAUUCUGGCCCUGUGACACUUGGUGGUCACCACCAGGUGGUGACGUGUGAGCUGAUUCACCUGGACACUCAGCAAAAUAUGGACUCUACACCAUGAGGCAGGCACACGUUAAUAACUCUAUAAGAGUACAUAAGGUAAGCAACACCACAUAUUAUUUUUAUUACUGUACACUGUCCUGGAUUUGUUUUCUUUCUGCAUGAUUUGUUUUCUUUCUGCAUCUCAUCAUUAGCCUGGCUGAUCACCUGAUAACUCAUGUUAUCUGGUUAUGACAGCAUGAGGAUGUCCUCACACACCUGUAACCUACCAGCUCAUCUGGCAGAAUAGAGAGAGAAGAGACAACACCACAUCUCCUGUUCCUGGAAAGCCUUCAGCCAUCCUUCGAUGACUGAGAACCUCCAUCAGCUCUGUCUCCUGUCUGCCUACAAUUAUUAUAAUAAAUAUUGUGUUUGACAAGUU